rnacentral:rRNA from 1 species
AUUGAACGCUGGCGGCAGGCUUAACACAUGCAAGUCGAGCGGAGAUGAGGUGCUUGCACCUUAUCUUAGCGGCGGACGGGUGAGUAAUGCUUAGGAAUCUGCCUAUUAGUGGGGGACAACAUUCCGAAAGGAAUGCUAAUACCGCAUACGCCCUACGGGGGAAAGCAGGGGAUCUUCGGACCUUGCGCUAAUAGAUGAGCCUAAGUCGGAUUAGCUAGUUUGUGGGGUAAAGGACUACCAAGGCGACGAUCUGUAGCGGGUCUGAGAGGAUGAUCCGCCACACUGGGACUGAGACACGGCCCAGACUCCUACGGGAGGCAGCAGUGGGGAAUAUUGGACAACGGGCGGAAGCCUGAUCCAGCCAUGCCGCGUGUGUGAAGAAGGCCUUUUGGUUGUAAAGCACUUUAAGCGAGGAGGAGGCUACCUGGAUUAAUACUCUAGGAUAGUGGACGUUACUCGCAGAAUAAGCACCGGCUAACUCUGUGCCAGCCGCCGCGGUAAAAC